CCUUGGCACAGAAGAUGGAUGCUAACCGAAUAACUACAUCUUGGCAGAAUCUCAUUUAGUAAACAUACACUCCACGUGCAAAAAGUUGUACAUAGCCAAAUGAAGAAUCUGAAGAUGGCAAAGCAGCAAACGCAAGGCCAAUGACUUGAAGGGUUUCCAACAGAGAGCCAGAAAAUUACAGGUCAUUCAUCUUAACAUCUGUUCUAGGCAGCCCAGUGGAAAGCAUCCUUAACUAUGAAAUUAUCAGGUGUAUAGAAAGAGGAGGCUCGCUGAAACAGAAUCGACAUGAGUUCUGGGCAGAUGUCCAUCAUCCUUUCGGGUCUUAUCCACAUCUUCCGACCACUCCUAUCCUCCCUUUCCGGUGCACUCGACUGCGAGGGCUUAGGACCAUGGUACUUCCUGCUGGGCCUUCGCAUUGUGGCCAUUUUCUUCUCAAACGGGCCAUGGGACUCAGUGAAGGAGGACGUGGCCUGCAAUUGGGUGGCCCCCAUCGAAGACAAGUCACGGGACUUCUGCACAACCCUAUGUCACAACCUCCACUUCCCAUUCUCUGUGGCCGGGGUGUGGGGACUUGUGUUCAUUGCCCUGCUACUCCUGGUGGGACUCAUGAGACUGAGCAGCCCAAAGAAGAAAAAAGAAGAUGGAGAAAAUGGGAAUGGAAACGGGAACGGGAACGGGAACGGGAAAGAGGAUAAAGAAAAAGGCUUAGCUAUUGUGGAAAAGGCACCGCAUGGGAGCACUGCUGACAUGUCCACCGUCUACUGGGUUGGGCGUCGUGGUCUCCCUAGACGCUACGGGGCCUACCGUUCUCACCCCCACCAUCCCCACUACUACUACGGCCACCAUGAUUGGCAUGAUUGGGCUGAUUGGCACGGGGCACCCAUGGUUGGUGAACAUUAUCCUGAUACGGGCUUUGUUCCACCGGACGUUGGAGGCUAUGGCAUGCCUAUCCAUCAGGAGCACAUUAGCCAGACCAAAAUGCCCGACCACUACUAUGACAUGGCUCAAACCAAAACGGGUGCCUACCCAAAGGACAUAAAGCAAAGCAACAAGCCCACACAUGGCCCUGGAACAGAACAAUAUGCAAUGUCUAGCUCCCCAGGUCAGGUGAGACAAACCCGUAGUGCACCCUAUUAUGCAGAAAAGGGACAGUAUAGUGCACCCACCAAGAGUAUCCCUAUUCCCAUUCAUGGCUCACCCCAUAGAGGCAAGAUAACCCCCCGUGGUUCUCCUGGCAAUGAACAUGAUGAGACCUUCCAGCAGAGGUAUAUUAACCCCAAUGACUGUACAAAAUACACUGGCCAAAGUAAGAUGAUGCCUAGAUACUGUGAAGAUGGCCAAUAUGGCAUGGCAUCCAAAUGCAGGCCAGACAUUGAAGGGAGCAUGGGCCAGAUUGCUGUAGUAGAUGACAGUCCAAACAUGGCCAUCAAGCGUCGGCCAGUUCAGGGGACUAAAACACACACAAAACACCAUGUGAAUUUUGAUGCUGCUGGCAACACGUAUGCCCAACCUUGCAUGACCAAGGAUCCCAGCUGCAAGCCCGCUGGUGGGAAGAAAACCAUGGCCGGACCAAGCACUGGGGCAAGCCAUGGCAAUGCAGCCUGUAUGUGCACUAACACAGAUCCAUGUCACAUGGGCCACAAAUGGGAAGCCCAUUGGGAACCCCCUUGUGAGCCCUGCUGCAGGGCUGAGCCCACCCACCGCGAGGGGCAUGGAAGUCGGGGAACUGCUCCUGGGACACAGGAGGAAGCCAAGAUGUCUAUCAGGAAAAUCUGUGGCGUGCCGCUCUUUGACAUCUGGGUGGCCCUUCUUCUUGCGAUGGAGAUCGGCUUCCUCUGUGUUGUGAUUCUUUUUCAGGUGCCCACUCUUUUGGGGAGGUCAUGGAUCUGUACGCCAGGAGCUUCUGGGUGUCCCCAAAGUGUCGAAUGCACUAUCAAAGGGAGGGCCGAAAAGCGAGUGGCUCUCUGGGGACUAGUGUUCACCUCCAUUCUUUUUAUAAUCGCCUGUAGCGGCUACUUUAACCUACGCUUCUGCUGGAAUCAGCGGUGCCAACAAAUGUGCAACGGGGAGGAAAGUGGGGAUGAAGCAAUCACUGAGACAGGAAAGCGGGAUGAGGAGGAAGGUGGCAAUGAGAACAAGGAAGGAGACUGAAGAAGGAGAAGAGAUGAUGGACAUUUGCUGUUUUGAUAAGGGUCUGACCAAAUGGUGCCAUGAAUAGGAUGAAAAGAAAGAAAGCAUGGGAACGGAAGAAUUUUGAAGGUGUGAAAUAUCCUUGGAAAUCCUAUAAAAGUCCAACCAAGCUGUAUCUUGGGGUGGCACUUCUUUUCAUGCUACCCACAGAUUUUAUUCUACAGAAUAAAGCCUGUUGUAUCACUCUCCUCGCCUCAGAAUCUAUUUUGAACCACAUGCUUCUGAGGUUUAAUGAAGCCAAGCCUCUUCAGGGAGCCGAAGUUUGGUGAUGCACCAGCACUCUUUAGCAGAGAAAGCUAUAGACCUUACAAAACUACAACUCUCAUGAUUCCAUAGUAUUAAGUCAUGGCAGUUAAAGUGAUGCCAAGUUGCUGCUGCAUGCCUUCAGGUUGUUUCUAAUUUAGGUAGGUAAAGGUUUUCCUUUGACGUUAAGUCCAGUCAUGUCCGACUCUGGGGGUUAAUGCUAAUCCCCAUUUCUAAGCUGAAGAGCUGGCAUUGACCAUACACGCCUCCAAGGUCAUGUGGCCGGCAUGACUUCAUGAAGCACCGUUACCUUCCCGCCGGAGCGGUACCUAGUGAUCUACUUACAUUUGCAUGUUUUCGAACUGCUAGAUUGGGAGAAGCUGGGGCUAACAUCGGGAGCUCACCCCGUUCCCCGGAUUCGAACUGUCAACCUUUCGGUUAACACGUUCAGCAGCUCAGUGGGGGCUCCAUGAUUCUAAUUUACGGCAACCUCAAAGCAAUCCUAUCAUGAGUUUACUUGGCAAGAUUUGUUCAGAAGUUUGCCAUUGUUUUCCUCUGAGGCUGAGAUUGUGUGACUUGCCAAAGGCCACCCAGUGGAUUUCAAGAAAUAUGAACCUUGUUCCUCAACACAACCUUCAAACCAUGAUCCCAUGUUGGCUACUAAGCUCUUUAUAAACUUUGGAGUUAGAAGUUCCGCUUGUUGUCAUGUCUAUUGUUUGAACCUGUGUGAUGCUCAGAUACUAUAACUCAAUUGUGUUUCUUUCGCCGUUCUUGGUAAUAAAAAGUGCUGGAAAUGUAUUUUAUUUUAUUUUCAAAAUAAAAACUGUCAUUUUGUUGUGCUCCUUUUAAACAGCUCUUGUUAGUGUGCUCACCGUGGAACUCCUGUUAACUGAGAGAAACCCUUGCGGUCGAUAAAAAUCAUCCCCAUCGAGAAUUCAUAUAUCAAAGAGAGUUAUAUGGCUCCCAUAAAUGUUUGCUCAGAUGGCAAGAUUGCUGCUUAUAAAGCAGGCUGCUUCUUUACCCAUUAUUUCUGUGCAUAAUGUAUGAUGGCCCCAUGAUUUUUUUAAAAAGUCUGGCAUUAAAUAAUAAAAAUAUGUUUGGAUGAAAUUGCGCAAUAAAUGCGAACUCAUAGAGCGAACGAGGAGGAGGAGGGAACAGCUGGCUAAUUGCAUUUCUUUCAAGGCCACCUUGUAAUUAACUUAAUUACCUUUGAGCCGGUUUUGAACACAAAUAGGAGGGACAGCAUGCAUCAGGAAAGGAAAGGAAAGGCGUGGAAAAGCCAGCCUUGUUCCAUGACUGAGAAUGGAGUCUUCAGUUUCAGAGGUGAGAGAAGUUACUUCUAGGAACUGCAAUUCCUGCUGACCUUGUU
rnacentral:lncRNA from 11 species